CCCAAUUGAGAAGCUUCAAUUAGCCUGUUUGAUCCCACUGAUAAGUGGCUAAUUUUAGGCUCAACUUCAUUACUAAACCUGCUUGUACUCCUACUCUCCAACACUUUUGUGGGCCCCAUUUGUACUAAAUUUUCUAUUUGACCAGCUUCUAGGUUGCGGCAAGUUUUGUCUGUUUGUGCCUCCCUUUUUAUAGCCAAAUUUUUAGGCGAGAUUUCCUCAUCAUUAUCCCUUAAAAUUAUUUCCCCUUUUUUAGACGAUAUCUGUAGCGAAUUCCCUCAUCAUUAUCCCUUAAAAUUAUUUCCCUUUUUUUAGACGAUAUCUGUAGCGAAUUCCUCUCAACUAUAUCUCUAAAACAUUCCUACAAUUUCUCCGCUUCCUAAUCAUAGAGUCCUGUUGCACGACAUCUACUUUCUCCGGCCGAAGAUUCAAGUCUGACGUUACCGGUGAUAACUUCGUCUCUUUGUUUGCCACUUCCUCCCCCGUGUAAAAACACUGAUGCAUUGACUUUUUCGUUAUGGAGCCAACAAUUAGACUUUCUUUCCCGACUAUGGACGAUUCUGCUUUAAGAGCUAACGAGAAAGGAUAGUCCCUUUUAGCUGUAUGAGAUUCUCCCUUUUGAGUUUCCAAACAUUCUUUGACCCCAUGUCCUAUCCUUCCACAACCAAAGCAAAAAGUUGGGAGAUUUUCGUAUUUGAAAGGUAACCAGGAUUUCCUUUUUCCGCACAAAGAAACAAAGAUACCUCUUCUUAACUGUUUUUGGAUAUUCAAGUUCACACGAAUGCGACAGAAUUCUCCCUUUAUCUCUGCCGGGAUUACUCCCCCAAAAGUAGACUUAAUAGCAUGCAUCAAAUCUUUCUUGUCACAUUCUGGCGGACAUGGACCAACUUUUAACCAGAAAGGGGAAAAAAUUAGUUACAUCUUGCUACGCUCCACGGGUUGAGACAAUCUGUUGAAGAUGAUUAAUUGUUUUCGGAAAAACCAUGGCUGUCCCUCCAGAAUCUGUUCUAAGUCUUCUUCAUCUUCAAAAGAAAUUGUAAAUAAAUUCUGCCUCACUAUGAGAAUCUUAAACUUUUUUUUUGUUUUCCAGAUACUCCGUAAUUGCGCACGCAGACUAUCUGGGUUGUAUGAUUUUCUCGUCCAAACAGUACAAAGCAGCGUCGGAUUUUCACUUGGAGUAACUAAAGAACUUUUCACUGUUAAUUGAAUUAACUCUUCUUCAAGGAGAUUAAUCUCGUUUCGAUCAUCAAUCUUUCCAGAGUCACCGCUCGUCUUCAUCCCAACCACAGUAUUCACUAUUUCUUCGGGAAACCUAAGAGAGCACUCUUGACUCAAAAAUAUAUUAUUAUAAUAUGAACUUCUGUUUUAACUAGCUUUUGAUUAUUUUUAAAUUGUAAUUAACAUGAGGUUAUCUAUUAUUAUUUAAUGACAUGUGGGUAUCUUAAAUGUUCCAAUUCGGUAACGUUAAUGGCUAUUACGUAAGUUUUAAAAAUUGGAUGGCCAAAAUAUAGUCUUGACCAAAAUUUAAAGAUAGUGAGUGUAGUUUACCUUUUUUUUUUCUUUUAAUAUCUCAUAUAGGUUAGUUGGCAGGUUAUAAAUGAUUAAAAAAAUUUUAAAACAAAUUUUUUUAUAUUUUAGAGUUAAGAGUAAAUUCAUAGAUUUUGUAAAUUUUGAGGGUCAAAGUCAUUAAAAAUUUCAAAAUUAUAACUAAAAUGGCAAAAUUUGUAAACGUUGAA
rnacentral:lncRNA from 1 species